rnacentral:tRNA from 1 species
UUAAUUGAAGCCAAAAUAGAGGCCUAUCACUGUUAAUGAUAUCAUUGAAUUAUUAUAUUCCAAUUAAA